CGCCCCUCAGGACCCCGCCCCCGCCCCGGCUCUCGGGUCCUUGGGGUCCGCGCUGGGAGCGUCUCUGGCGACGGGUUGUGUGGGUGUCGGGAGCGCACUUCUCGGCCCAGGCCUGAGGGGCGCCGCUGGGGAAGCUGGAUGACCACAGGUGCCCUCAGAGGAGUUGCGCCCCUGUGUGUGCCAAAAUAACUUUCCAAAACAGCCGUUCAGAAAAGACCCUGCCGGUGUGCAAGCGAUGGCAGUGUUGGAAGCGGACCUUGGUGGUGUGCAGUAUGUGCCUGACCUUGCAAGAACCGCAGCCUACUUUAGUCGGGACUUGUAAGCUGAGAUGAUGACUGUCUUAGUUACUUUUUCCUCCCUGAGACACAGUUACGACUCCCACAACUGUGAGGAGGAGAAGCUUAUUUUGGCUCACAGCUCGUAGAGGAUUCAGUACCCAACUGGCUGGCUUCUGACAGAGAGUAAUUGCUGGGGACCAGGCCGGAGGAGGAACGGCGCCCUUCCAAGCCACCCCGCGACCCACCUUCUCCCACCAGAUAUCACAUGAUAGAGAAAAUGGUGGAGCAUUGACUGGCACCAAAAUUCAGCCUUUCUGAGAUCUGGAAUCCAGACACUGCAAAACCACAACUUGGUGAAGAGGAAAGGAGAAGUAGAUCACUGGGAAUCAGGAAGGAACUGAAAUGAAAGCAGAAGCUGCAGGGAAUUUGGAGAAUCUGUCCACAACACAGAGAAAACAAACAAUUUGGACUCUCUCACUGGCUCAAGAAGAGAAGAGUUUGGCUCUGCAGAAGCAGGGGAAGUGCCAAGGGCUGGGAGAUCCAGGGAGAAAUGGAGGUGGGCUGGGUUGGUAACACAGGCCCCAAGAGGAGCCCAUAGCUGUUGUGAAAUGCAAAAGCAGUGUGGGAUCUUGCUCCAUGGGGACAUCUUCCACACAGCAGGCAACAGCCGAAGGAUUCCAGCACAGGCACUCACCAUAUCACUAGAGAGUACUUACUCAGGUACUAUUUCAGAAAGGGACUGAUUAUUUAAAUCUGGGAUUCAGAACACCUAAAACAAACAAAACAAAAAACUUCACUACCAGUUUCCCAGUGUUACCCUCCCAUAGUAACUGGGUAAAAGUCUUGAGAGACAGCUUCGAACAAGGAGCAAGCUAGAAAGAGAUCCUCUGAGAAUUUGAAGCUCAGGCUGGGAAGGACAUGAGCCCAAUAUCCCAAGGUGAGAAGCCAGCUUGGCUUGAGCUGUACUCAGAAAUGGCUGGAUAUGAAAGUGCCUGUUGGCAUUAAGUACUUGAACCCUUGCCCUGCUAUCUACAUCCAGCACAUACCUGAGAUCUGUUUGCCUCCCCUCUCUAUCCAUGUGAACAAGGGCACAUCUCAGCAUACACAUCAUCACAGCCUGGGGUAAACAGAAGGCACUCUAGAAUAGGAGCACAUCUCACAAACCCACAGGCCAUAAGGCUAGGUGGAGAAAACCAUGAUUUGCUGGACUUAAAACUAUGGCUCCUGAAAGGAAACCACUCAUUUAAAAAUACAGAGAAUAUUUUUGUUUCAGUUUUUUUGGAUUCAGUAUUGUUCUUAACUCUUUCUUCUUCAUUGGUUUAUUGGGG
ensembl:lncRNA